rnacentral:rRNA from 1 species
AGCGAACGCUGGCGGCAGGCCUAACACAUGCAAGUCGAACGAACCUUUCGGGGUUAGUGGCGGACGGGUGAGUAACACGUGGGAACGUGCCUUUAGGUUCGGUAUAACUCAGGGAAACUUGUGCUAAUACCGAAUGUGCCCUUCGGGGGAAAGAUUUAUCGCCUUUGGAGCGGCCCGCGUCUGAUUAGCUAGUUGGUUGAGGUAAUGGCUCACCAAGGCGACGAUCAGUAGCUGGUCUGAGAGGAUGAUCAGCCACAUUGGGACUGAGACACGGCCCAAACUCCGACGGGAGGCAGCAGUGGGGAAUCUUGCGCAAUGGGCGAAAGCCUGACGCAGCCAUGCCGCGUGAAUGAUGAAGGUCUUAGGAUUGUAAAAUUCUUUCACCGGGGACGAUAAUGACGGUACCCGGAGAAGAAGCCCCGGCUAACUUCGUG